rnacentral:rRNA from 1 species
AUGUUAAGCACUAACCCGGCAGCUUGUACGAAUGCGAUGCUGGUCACAAACCAAAAAUCUAUCUUCCUCAGGCCGGAGACGAAGCCGCCGAGGAGGACGGCGGUGGCCCACAAAAGCGCCAGGGCCCCGACGCCUUUCACGCCCAUUCGGAUGUACGCCAUAGUGACCGCAUACUUGUUGAUGAUCCUCACUUCUGGCCGCCGUUCAAGCUCCUCCUCCGAAAAAGCGCCAAGCUCAUCUCUUAAGAGCUCACGCUCCUCAUUGCGGUUUCCAAAUGCUCCGCCCCUCCGUCGUACUCCGGUCGACAUUAUCCUUCGUGGUAUGGCAACGGUGGAGCGGCAGAUCUCUGGUUUCUCUACUGCUUGCUAG